GCUGGGUGUGGUAGUGCACACCUGUAAUCCCAGCUACUCAGGAGGCUGAGGCAGGAGAAUUGCUUGAACCUGGGAGGUGGAGGUUGCAGUGAGCCAACUCCCAUCACUGCACACCCAGCCUGGGUGACAGAGCAAGACUCUGUCUCAA
rnacentral:SRP_RNA from 1 species